rnacentral:rRNA from 1 species
AGAGUUUGAUCAUGGCUCAGGAUGAACGCUGGCGGCGUGCUUAACACAUGCAAGUCGAACGGUGAACACGGAGCUUGCUCUGUGGGAUCAGUGGCGAACGGGUGAGUAACACGUGAGCAACCUGCCCCUGACUCUGGGAUAAGCGCUGGAAACGGCGUCUAAUACUGGAUAUGUGACGUGACCGCAUGGUCUGCGUUUGGAAAGAUUUUUCGGUUGGGGAUGGGCUCGCGGCCUAUCAGCUUGUUGGUGAGGUAAUGGCUCACCAAGGCGUCGACGGGUAGCCGGCCUGAGAGGGUGACCGGCCACACUGGGACUGAGACACGGCCCAGACUCCUACGGGAGGCAGCAGUGGGGAAUAUUGCACAAUGGGCGAAAGCCUGAUGCAGCAACGCCGCGUGAGGGAUGACGGCCUUCGGGUUGUAAACCUCUUUUAGCAGGGAAGAAGCGAAAGUGACGGUACCUGCAGAAAAAGCGCCGGCUAACUACGUGCCAGCAGCCGCGGUAAUACGUAGGGCGCAAGCGUUAUCCGGAAUUAUUGGGCGUAAAGAGCUCGUAGGCGGUUUGUCGCGUCUGCUGUGAAAUCCCGAGGCUCAACCUCGGGCCUGCAGUGGGUACGGGCAGACUAGAGUGCGGUAGGGGAGAUUGGAAUUCCUGGUGUAGCGGUGGAAUGCGCAGAUAUCAGGAGGAACACCGAUGGCGAAGGCAGAUCUCUGGGCCGUAACUGACGC